rnacentral:rRNA from 1 species
UACGUAGGGUGCAAGCGUUAAUCGGAAUACUGGGCGUAAAGCGUGCGCAGGCGGUUUUGUAAGUUUGUCGUGAAAUCCCCCGGGCUCAACCUGGGAGGUGCGCUUGAUACUCGAGGGCUUGAGUGCGGGAGAGGAGAGUGGAAUUCCCAGUGUAGAGGUGAAAUUCGUAGAUAUUGGGAAGAACACCGGUGGCGAAGGCGGCUCUCUGGACCGUAACUGACGCUGAGGCGCGAAAGCGUGGGGAGCAAACAGG